GACGAACGCUGGCGGCGUGCUUAACACAUGCAAGUCGGACGGUGAAGCUCCAGCUUGCUGGAGUGGAUCAGUGGCGAACGGGUGAGUAACACGUGAGCAACCUGCCCCUGACUCUGGAAUAAGCGCUGGAAACGGCGUCUAAUACUGGAUACGAGAAGGGUCCGCAUGGGCACUUUCUGGAAAGUUUUUCGGUUGGGGAUGGGCUCGCGGCCUAUCAGCUUGUUGGUGAGGUAAUGGCUCACCAAGGCGACGACGGGUAGCCGGCCUGAGAGGGCGACCGGCCACACUGGGACUGAGACACGGCCCAGACUCCUACGGGAGGCAGCAGUGGGGAAUAUUGCACAAUGGGCGAAAGCCUGAUGCAGCGACGCCGCGUGAGGGAUGACGGCCUUCGGGUUGUAAACCUCUUUCAGCAGGGAAGAAGCGAAAGUGACGGUACCUGCAGAAGAAGCACCGGCUAACUACGUG
rnacentral:rRNA from 1 species